rnacentral:lncRNA from 1 species
AUGCUCGUAGGUUGCAAGAGAGGGUUCCUGUUUUCCUUGCAGUUGGGCUCAAGGCAGGUUUGGCUAGAGCCAGACAUUCAGAUCUAGAUUGCUCACCACCUUUGGUGUUAGGUAAAUGCGUUUGGAGCUGGAGCUUUACAAGAGGCAAGUAUGUCAAAAUUAACCUUAGGGGAAAGUACUCAGUGAGAGCAGAUGUGAUUUCAUCCCCAGAUCUACUCUUCUUGUGAAGCUUAACAGCACCUGAUUUCAACUUGCUGCAAACAAGAAUAGCAACACACUGCUCAUAGGAGUAGCAUUCAAUUUCAUUCAUUUCUUAAGUUGUUUGUACUUUUCCACAUAAUCUAUUCACAUUAUGAGUCCUGUUUUGACAUUUAAGCUCUAUUUCAUGAACUUUGUUUCUGAACAGAGAAUGAAACUUUUUCUACUUCCACGGUUGGUGCAUCUCAAUGAUAGCUCUGUCACCGAGACUCAAUUGCCUUGCUUCCAUCUCCACUUUGGAGGACAUCAAGCAGGACAUCUUCAGCAGUAAGACAUCUGAGCCAUACAUGCAUCCGGCACAGGUGAAACUGUGCAGAAGGAAAGCUACUGGCCAAUUGCAGAAAUCCAUUUCACGUGCCCAGCCUCCAUAA